CCUGUGACCUUACACCAACCUGUGCUGCUGACAGUCUGACAGCAGGAGGCGCUACAGCUCACACAGGGGUCUGUUACUCUCUGAUGUCACCUUCCCUCAGGUGGAUGGAUCUCAAAGUGAAGAGGGACACAUCCUAAACUGUCCUCCUAAAGCGGAGGAGCUGUGAGGCAUCGUGACUUUCAUGGCUGUGUUGAAUACCGGAUUCUGAUUGGUCAAAGUCUCAUAACAACAGUGAUUCAACAGAAGCAAUGCCAGGGACAACCUGAUCACAGGUUUCCGUCUCUGCUGGUCCUGGAGCAACAUCCUGUCCUGCAAUCCAGGCAACCGCAGAGCUGAUGAGAGCUUCUCUGAGCUGCUGACCUCUACAAAGUCACCUCGACCAGAAGAGGAAGAGAUGAAAGCAAUUAAAAGUUGUGACAUGUGUCUCAUUUAUGUUUGAAGGUGUGUUAAUGCAAAGCUCUCAGAAGAGGGAGAGCUGAGGUUUUUUCAUCUCACAUGGAAAUGUUCAGUUUAAUGUGAUUAAUAACAAAUAAACCAGCUAAUGUUUUAACUU